GAUGAACGCUGGCGGCGUGCCUAAUACAUGCAAGUCGAGCGAACGGACGAGAAGCUUGCUUCUCUGAUGUUAGCGGCGGACGGGUGAGUAACACGUGGAUAACCUACCUAUAAGACUGGGAUAACUUCGGGAAACCGGAGCUAAUACCGGAUAAUAUUUUGAACCGCAUGGUUCAAAAGUGAAAGACGGUCUUGCUGUCACUUAUAGAUGGAUCCGCGCUGCAUUAGCUAGUCGGUAAGGUAACGGCUUACCAAGGCAACGAUGCAUAGCCGACCUGAGAGGGUUAGCCGCCACACCGGAACUGGGGACACGGCCCGAACCCUAAGGGAAGCCACAGUAGGGAAUCUUCCGCAAUGGGCGAAAGCCUGACGGAGCAACGCCGCGUGAGUGAUGAAGGUCUUCGGAUCGUAAAACUCUGUUAUUAGGGAAGAACAUAUGUGUAAGUAACUGUGCACAUCUUGACGGUACCUAAUCAGAAAGCCACGGCUAACUACGUG
rnacentral:rRNA from 1 species